rnacentral:tRNA from 1 species
AUUUAAAUAGCUUAUAAAGAGUAUAGUGUUGAAGCUACUAAGGAAGUUAAAAAAACUUUUAAAUA